UACGAAGGGGGCUAGCGUUGUUCGGAAUCACUGGGCGUAAAGCGCACGUAGGCGGAUUGCUAAGUCAGGGGUGAAAUCCUGGAGCUCAACUCCAGAACUGCCUUUGAUACUGGCAAUCUCGAGUCCGGGAGAGGUGAGUGGAACUGCGAGUGUAGAGGUGAAAUUCGUAGAUAUUCGCAAGAACACCAGUGGCGAAGGCGGCUCACUGGCCCGAUACUGACGCUGAUGCACGAAAGCGUGGGGAGCAAACAGG
rnacentral:rRNA from 1 species